GGGUGCGAUCAUACCAGCACUAAUGCACCGGAUCCCAUCAGAACUCCGCAGUUAAGCGUGCUUGGGCGAGAGUAGUACUAGGAUGGGUGACCCCCUGGGAAGUCCUCGUGUUGC
rnacentral:rRNA from 1 species